rnacentral:tRNA from 1 species
GCCGGGAUAGCUCAGUCGGUAGAGCAGGGGAUUGAAAAUCCCCGUGUCACCAGUUCGAUUCUGGUUCCUGGCA